AGGGGUUUGUUUGUACCGUCUAUAAAAGAGGGGCAGGGUCUGGCUCCUUGAAUUCGCACAACGCACACAUCACAAGCAAGGUAGCCAAAUCGAGGAUUCUCCUCAAGAAGAUUGCCUAUCAUGAGAGUCGACUUCAGAGGCCAAGGAAUCUUGAAGGAAUUUGAGAGGAAACAGUUCAAUCUUCACAGGAAAGGAAAGAAAUGGUUGCCGUUUGUUCUGUAUCCAUUUAUCUUCAAAUCCUUGUGGUGCUCCUCUAGCUACAACAAGGUGCCAAAACAAGGAUAGAUUCCUCCACAUAAGAAGAAUGCUACUCCCUCCGUCCAACAAAAGAUGUCACAAAUUUGUUAAAAUUUAGAUGUAUCUAGACAUGACUUAGUAUAUAGAUGCAUUCAAAUUUAAUCAAAGUUGAGACAGUUGGACGGAGUGAGUAUAAAGGUUUGGACUGCAAGGGGCCAGCAAAGUCGGCGCUUCCGCUGAUGAUGGGUAGUGCUCAGGAGGAACAGCAGGAUGCAAACAUGAACUUGAACGUGCUCCCACUAUCCGAGAACCUCGCGAGCAAUGGAGAGUGCGAGUGCCAAUCCUCCUCCAACCGGGACUAUCUGGGCGGCUACUACAAUGAGGCAGGCGUCGGCCGGCCCUAGCUGCGCCGGUGGCAUCGGCGACCUGGACGACGUUGUCCAGAUGGCCUCCAGGGAGUUCAUGACGCCGAGCUCUAGCGAUACCUGUGCAAACCAAGUAGCAUUUCAGAGGGUUAAUUAAGGAGCGAGAAAGAUUGAAUUAUUGGUCCUUCCACAAUUUAGAAAUGGUGCACAAGAGGUGUCGGUCAUAUUGUUUUGUUGGGACUGGCUAAGGCACAGUCGACUGAGAAAAUAGAAUUCUUAGUCGACCAGCUAGUCCGGCCACUGCCUAACGAUGCAUGCAUGCAUGGAUGGGUGUUGUGCUUAGCUUUGCUGAUCGGUAGUCUAGUGCUUGGUUUUCUGUGUUUUUCAUGAAUGACGGCAGGUUUUAGAUUACCAAUUUUUAAAAGUUGCACUUGAAAUUU